rnacentral:lncRNA from 1 species
GUUGCCUUCCGGGCCCGUGCGCUCCCUGGCUGCUUCCCCCUGCCGUCAGCCCGCCUGCCGGGUGGAGGCGUCUAGUGGCGUCCUGAGCCCCCCGGGGGCCGCUCAGUGACAGGGGCUGCCCCGAGCUGGAGGGGGAUCCAGCGACCAAACCAGAGGAUGCACUGACCGCCCCUCCCCCCCAGGCCCAACCCUCCACCUGGCCUCAGUCCCGGGGUUCCUGGCGGGCUGUGCGGGGCGGGGGCGCGUCGGCGGGGGCAGCUUGCGAGGGUCGUUGGCCCCUGGAGGCCGAGGGGCAUGGCGCCAGCACGUCUGAGCCGGUGCCCGUGUCUGUCCGUGUCUGUAGGCUCGGGCGACAUGGACGGGUUGCCGAAGAGUUCCCCCGGCGCCGUGGCCGGCCUGAGCAACGCCCCGGGCACCCCGCGGGACGACGGCGAGAUGGCGGCCGCCGGGACCUUCCUGCACCCGUUCCCGAGCGAAAGCGUAAGCGACUGCGUCGACUCCCCCCCCGCGGCGGCGUCGGGCCGGAGGGGCUGGCGGGCAGGCCCCGGCGGGGCGGCCGGGGGGCCAGAGCAAGACCGUGACCGCGGCGGGCCAGUACUCGCCAGGGAUGACCAUGAGCGUGUGAUGGGGCGGCAGCCCCGGGCCUCUCUGCGGGCCUAGGCUUCUGCCCAGCGCCCCUGCUCAGGGCGAGGGGCUGAGGUCACACCUCGGGCACCUGGACUCCUGGCCAAUCAAGGCUUGCCCAGCUGGGAGGCCCCACACGAAAGACUCUUACCAUUUUAUUAAAAACGCAAGGACCUCAGAGACGUUCUUUUCUGUAUGGACCCUUCCUGCCAUUUGUAUUUUGUCCCAGAGAGAAAGGCUCUUUGGGGGGCCCCUCUCCCCAGGACGUCAGGGGGUGGGGCCCAUAAAUAAAUGGAAGCUGGUUUUGGUUUUUGGUA